rnacentral:rRNA from 1 species
UACGUAGGGUGCGAGCGUUACUCGGAAUUACUGGGCGUAAAGCGUGCGCAGGCGGUUUUGUAAGCCAGAUGUGAAAUCCCCGGGCUUAACCUGGGAAUGGCAUUUGGGACUGCAAGGCUCGAGUGCGGCAGAGGAGACUGGAAUUCCUGGUGUAGCAGUGAAAUGCGUAGAUAUCAGGAGGAACACCGAUGGCGAAGGCAGGUCUCUGGGCUGACACUGACGCUCAUGCACGAAAGCGUGGGGAGCAAACAGG